GUGCUCGCUUCAGCAGCACAUAUACUAAAAUUGGAAUGAUACGGAGAAGACUACCAUGGCCUCUGAGCAAGAAUGACACAAAAAUU
rnacentral:snRNA from 1 species